GCCGGGCGUCGUGGCGGGCGCCUGUAAUCCCAGCUACUCAGGAGGCUGAGGCAGGAGGAUCACUUGAUUCCAGGAGGCAGAGGUUGCAGUGAGACGAGAUUGUGCCACUGCAUUCCAGCCUGGACAACAGAGCAAGCCUCUGUCUCAA
rnacentral:SRP_RNA from 2 species